UGGAGAAUCUGCCAAACCACAGGGUCCCU
rnacentral:piRNA from 1 species